rnacentral:rRNA from 1 species
AGCGAACGUUUGCGGCGGGCUUAACACAUGCAAGUCGAACGGGCUGUUCCCUUCGGGGCGAGUCAGUGGCGCACGGGUGGCGUAACACGUAGGUAAUCAACCCUUCAGCUCGGGAGUAACACUUCGAAAGGAGUGCUAAUACCGGAUGUGAUGCGGGGCUCUUCGGAGUGCUGCAGGAAAGAUCCGCAAGGGUCACUGAAGGACGAGCCUGCGGCCCAUCAGCUAGUUGGCGAGGUAAUGGCUCACCAAGGCGAAGACGGGUAGCUGGUCUGAGAGGAUGAUCAGUCACACUGGAACUGAGACACGGUCCAGACUCCUACGGGAGGCAGCAGUGGGGAAUAUUGCGCAAUGGGCGAAAG